UACGUAGGUGAUCAGCGUUGUCCGGAUUUACUGGGCGUAAAGAGCGCGCAGGCGGUCGUUCAAGUCGAGUGUGAAAGCCCCCGGCUCAACUGGGGAGGUCACUCGAUACUGAUCGACUUGAAGGCAGGAGAGGGAAGCGGAAUUCCAGGGUGUAGCGGUGAAAUGCGCAGAUAUCAGGAGGAACACCAGUGGCGAAGGCGCCGCUCUGGGCCGACACUGACGCUGAGGAGCGAAAGCGUGGGUAGCAAACAGGA
rnacentral:rRNA from 1 species